UGGAAACAUGAUCCAUUAAAUUAGGAUUCAAGAAAUUCAUCCGGCCUGAUGUAUAGUAAAUUAUUUCACCCCGUAAAUUUGGGGUGGUCUCAUAUACGAUGAGCUUUUUUAUUUUUUAUUAUUAUAAAGAAAGUUCAUAGGCCUAGUACAGUGAAAAUAUAUAAUGAGCUUUUAUUCAAGUCGUAGAGGUGAUAAAUUGCGAAGUACUUGGGAGAUGAGUGUGUUUCGAUGUGAGGGUAUGGCUUGUUUGACUGACUUAAUGAGAGAACUUAUGACGGCUGGAAAAUUGGGAAUGAAUGAGGGCAAACUCAUACUUUUGCCCUAGACUAAACCUGGCUUAAAACUAUGGGAACAAUUUUGGUAUCAAUUUUGUAUCUAUUCAUCCACUUCGAGGACGUCUUCGGUUAUUGUCAUAGUUCUUAUAAAUAUGCAAUUGUUGUUCUACAAAUAACAGGAAAUGAUGCUCAAGAAAGGGAUGGCAUGGCAUUAUGUAGCAUAUGACCAACGCGCUGAAUUUACCAAGUGGGAGAAGGAGGCGCGAGCAAAGAGACUGGGGUUGUGGGCUUCGAGGAACCCCGAAGAACCAUGGGAGUGGCGGAAAAAUUUACUGAUUCUAAUCAAUUUUUCCACUUUGUAUAACAAAAUGUUUACUGAUGUUCGUCUAAUAUCCAUGAAAAUAUCAGUGGGAGAAGGAGGCGCGAGCAAAGAGACUGGGGUUGUGGGCUUCGAGGAACCCCGAAGAACCAUGGGAGUGGCGGAAA